CUUCAAAUAGCUGCUGUGCACCUGGGAGUGUUAUCUUGCACCAGGACGAUUGAAGUCGGACAAGACUAUUAAGCUGCAGUGGACACCUAUAGGACUGUCAGAGUGAGGCAUGUCGCCGAAACACCCUGUGUCGUUUUCAAGUUCUUCUGACGGGAUGACGAUGACAUCUGCGUCUAAGGAAGACUCACUAUGUCGAAGAUGCCAUCACUGAAAACAAUAUUGCCUCUCACGGGGAAAGAUCCAGAAAGUCGCCCGGCUGUGGAUCCCAAAGCUGGCUCCUACCACUUUGAACUGUCAUACUGUGUUCCGAUGUUGUGAAAGACUCCAUGAGCAUUCCAGCAAAGGAAAAGGUCACUUGAUGUUGUUGGUACAGGGUUUUCUUCCACACUGCCUGAGGCAGGCUUGCCACGCGCACGUCUGAUGAAACUAUGUACAGAUAAUCGGUGGAGAGGCGACACACGAACCCACAUAUUGACCAUGAAAUUUAUCUUCUCUUCUUGGCGACGUGUGAUUCGGGGAAAGAGUAUAUAUGCAUCGUCACCAAGAUUGUGCACCUGUUGGGAUCUCAACUGAGACCAUUAGGGAUCGAGGGUGACCCAUACCCUGACUCAACAUCCAGUUCAAGGGAGAAGGACCCGUGCCACUGGGAUGUGAGCCAUUCAACGGUGUACCGAACCGUUGCUGCUAGAGGUUCUGCAUGUUGCAGUGGCGACAGAACAGCUGUUGUUCAGUUUUUGUGGGAGUUUUUUUUUAAUUCUGUGUGCUUUUUUUCUUCUUCUAGAAACGCUUCCGGUAAGGUAGUUGGUUUGUCCACGUGCCAUCUGGACAGGUGUGGGUCACUCGGUAGAGUAUUGCUUUCUCAACGACAACAAAGGGGGGUCCACUACCCUUGUGUUAUUUCAUGAGAAUGAGAGAUGACUUUUUUUGACAAACCUUACCGUCAUACUACGGGGAAGUAUUUUCUUGUCGAGGUGUUUCUUCAAAUAUUAUUACACUCAUUUUACCCUUUCAAACUCCUAUAGCCAUCAGCCCUGACGCGCGUUUUCGUAUUGUCACUGAUGAUAAGAAUGCAACUUGACCGUUAAUUAAACAAGGCGAUCUUUCCCUGUGCAGUUUUGCAGAAAGGGGUGUGCAUUUAAUUUGAUUCUUCGCAGAGCAACCUAUAGUUUGGCACAGCAGUUAAUUUAAUUUUGACGCACAAAAGGUGUACGAGCGAUAUGCCACAAAAACUACACCAACUGGAAGGGCUUUUUUUGUUGGUUCGCCUCGACAUCUUUGCUCAUGAUCAUAAAAAUUUUGUUUGGCCUGUGAAAUCAGUUGUUUAUUUUAUAUUCCCGUCAUUUACAUCUUAAAAUUGCAACAAUAAUGUUAUUCGUGAAGUUUUUCACUCCAAUUUUUCUCAUUCAUUUUGAGUUUUUUAUCAAUAUCAAUAUUCCACUACCGUUUUCUUUGUUUGAAAAGUCUAUAAAUACCUUCCCAGCAUUGUGCGGGUGAAUAGCAUAUUUCAUAUGCUAUUCUAGGAGAGCGAUGAACUUGAAAUCUGGUUUGGUUGUGCACCAUUAAACUCGCACGAGGAGUCGUUUGUGUCUUGAAAGGGAAUUAUUAUAUGCGUUGGUUAAUUAUUUUGUGAUCAUUUGCUCCGAUUGCAUUGAGUCAUAAUAUUUGUAGAUUUUAAACUUUCAUUUUUGAGACGUGGCAAGAUGCCAGCUCAACAUGAUAAGAUUUGAAUUAACUUCAGAUACGUCCUCUAGGGUUAAUAAAAUACAGCCUUUGUUGUGGCUUAAUGGUAAAUGGUGCGCCUUACAAAAUGUAGCUAUCCCGUGAAACUGCGCACCACAACGAGAAAUUCGCAGCUUCCGCUUAAAAAGAAUCAGUUUUCCUUGAACUAAUACUGCUCUUUAAGAAAUGUAGCUAUCCCGUGAAACUGAGCACCACAGCGAGAAAUUCGCAGCUUCCGCUUAAAACAAAAUCACUUUGCCGUGAACUAAUACCUUUAAGUUCCCAUUAAUAUCUUUGAAAUUGACUACAGUCAUGACUGUAAGCAAAGAUUGAUUCCUUUAGAUCACAGUCGUCUGAGUUUACACAAUUACAACUUGGCGGGUGGAAAAAAGUACAAAGCAGUCGCCAUCGCCUGAAUAACGCUGCUUGGAAUGGCCAAGAAAUCAAUAUUUACCUACAACGUGGUGAGAGGAAUAAGAAAAACCUUGUGCCAUGCUCUGUGUCGUGACAAUAUGCCGUUAACAAAAUUUCAAAACAUAGGCUGAUUUCUUAUAGGGUUAUGGUGUAAUCAUAAAACCUGGAACGCACGAAACAUUUUCCCCAAAAUGUUCCUUUUGUUACGUCACUGUUACGCCGUCCUUUAUUAAGGUGUGAUUAAUUAAAGAAAAUGUUUUGCCUAUAACUUUUGAACCAGAUUUGAUGUACCAUGUUUUAUUUUUGCGAUCUGGUAGGCCUAAUCCUGACAAACAUCCGCCCCCUCGAUAUUUUUUUCCUGGUGUGCAUUUAUCGGGAACUGAGUCUUUAAGAGUUGAAAGAGUAAACCUUUCCAGUCAUUUUGAAACCAAUUUUACGAAAAAUUGAACAUACCAUCGUUAC